AUAGGUACUACCAGAUUCUGUCUCCUAUGCCUUAACUGUAUUCUUACUGCAUGUUUAUAUUCCUGAGCAAUUCAUAGUAUUCUAUUAUGUUAUAUAGUAUAUAUAUAAUAUAGUUAUUCUACAACUUUUUCUUUAACAUUUUUGAGAUUCAGCUAUGGAUUCAUUUAACUCUGGUAUAUUCAUUUGUAAUUCAUAUGUAGUAUUUUAUGACUGUAUCACAGUUUAACCAUUUGAUGAUGGCCAUUGUUUCUAAUUUUUGCUAAUUAAUAAUAAUAAUUUUGAUAGCUGACAUAAGAGUGUUCAUUAUAUGUUAGGUAAGAGCUUUCUAUAAAUGCUGCUGGGAACAUUUUUACGCAGAAUGUUUCUAUAUACCUAGCGGUGAAAUUGCU
rnacentral:lncRNA from 1 species